rnacentral:rRNA from 1 species
UACGUAGGGGGCGAGCGUUGUCCGGAAUCAUUGGGCGUAAAGAGCGUGUAGGCGGCUUGGCAAGUCUGACGUGAAAGCCCACGGCUCAACCGUGGAGGGUCAUUGGAAACUGGGGGACUUGAGUGCAGAAGAGGAUAGUGGAAUUCCAAGUGUAGCGGUGAAAUGCGUAGAGAUUUGGAGGAACACCAGUGGCGAAGGCGACUAUCUGGUCUGUAACUGACACUGAGGCGCGAAAGCGUGGGGAGCAAACAGG